GAUGAACGCUGGCGGCGUGCUUAACACAUGCAAGUCGAACGGUGAAGGCUGAUCUUGCUCUGCUGGAUCAGUUUCUAACGGGUGAGUAACACGUUAGCAAUCUGCCCCUGACUCUGGGAUAAGCGCUGGAAACGGCGUCUAAUACUGGAUACGAGCUGCGAAGGCAUCUUCAGCAGCUGGAAAGAAUUUCGGUCAGGGAUGAGCUCGCGGCCUAUCAGCUUGUUGGUGAGGUAAUGGCUCACCAAGGCGUCGACGGGUAGCCGGCCUGAGAGGGUGACCGGCCACACUGGGACUGAGAAACGGACGAGGCUCCUACGGGAGGAAGCAGUGGGAAAGAUUGAACAAUGGGCGAGAGACUGAAGCAGCAACGCCGCGUGAGGGACGACGGCCUUCGGGUUGUAAACCUCUUAUAGCAGGGAAGAAGCGAAAGUGAGGGUACCUGCAGAAAAAGCGCCGGCUAAAUACGGG
rnacentral:rRNA from 1 species